rnacentral:rRNA from 1 species
UACGGGGGGGGCAAGCGUUGUUCGGAAUUACUGGGCGUAAAGGGCUCGUAGGCGGCCCUCUAAGUCAGACGUGAAAUCCCUCGGCUUAACCGGGGAACUGCGUCUGAUACUGGAGGGCUUGAGUUUGGGAGAGGGAUGCGGAAUUCCAGGUGUAGCGGUGAAAUGCGUAGAUAUCUGGAGGAACACCGGUGGCGAAGGCGGCAUCCUGGACCAACACUGACGCUGAGGAGCGAAAGCCAGGGGAGCAAACGGG